GACGAACGCUGGCGGCGUGCUUAACACAUGCAAGUCGAACGGAAAGGCCCUGCUUUUGUGGGGUGCUCGAGUGGCGAACGGGUGAGUAACACGUGAGUAACCUGCCCUUGACUUUGGGAUAACUUCAGGAAACUGGGGCUCAUAUCGGAUAGGAUCUACUGCUGCAUGUUGUGGGAUGGAAAGUUUCGGCGGUUGGGGAUGGACUCGCGGCUUAUCAGCUUGAUGGUGGGGUAGUUGCUUACCAAGGUUUUGAAGGGUAGCCGGCCUGAGAGGCUGACCGGCGACAUUGGGACUGAGAUACGGCGCAGACGCGUACGGGAGGCAGAAGGGGGGAAUCUUGCACAAUGGGGGGAAGCCUGAUGCGGAAACGCCGCGUGCGGGAUGAUGGCCUUCGGGUUGUAAACCAAUUUCGCAUGUGACGAAGCGUGAGUGACGGUAACGGGUCAAGAAGCCCCGGCUAACUACGUG
rnacentral:rRNA from 1 species